rnacentral:rRNA from 1 species
UGGGGAAUAUUGGGCAAUGGGCGAAAGCCUGACCCAGCGACGCCGCGUGGGUGAUGAAGGCCUUCGGGUUGUAAAACCCUUUCGUGCGGAAAGAAUAGUCCUGUAGCGAAUAACUACGGGAUUUGACGGUACCGCAGGAAGAAGCACCGGCUAACUCCGUGCCAGCAGCCGCGGUAAUACGGAGGGUGCAAGCGUUGUUCGGAAUUAUUGGGCGUAAAGGGCGCGUAGGUGGUUGUGAUAGUCAGAUGUGAAAUACUCCGGCUCAACCAGAGAACAGCAUCUGAAACUGCAUAACUAGAGUACAGAAGAGGGAAACGGAAUUCCCGGUGUAGAGGUGAAAUUCGUAGAUAUCGGGAGGAACACCAGUGGCGAAGGCGGUUUCCUGGUCUGAUACUGACGCUGAGGCGCGAAAGCGUGGGGAGCAAACAG